rnacentral:misc_RNA from 1 species
AAGUCGUAACAAGGUAACCGUAGGUGAACCUGCGGUUGGAUCAUUACCAAUCGAAGGGGGCGGGGCUAAGUUUAGGUGGACUUUGUCCACUUUUACGUGGCUUUGCCCCUUUUAUUAACCCCUUGUGAACCAUGAACGUAUUUUGGUAGCCUGCCUUUUUUAGGCUGCCAGCCUGUAAACAAACCCAAAGUCAUUUUGUAUUAUUACAUGUCUCCCAUUAGAUUCUUUAAAGUGAAUCUAGUUUUUAACAAAACUUAACAACUUUUGACAACGGAUCUCUUGGCUCUC